ACUUUGAUUAUGGCUCAGGAUGAACGCUAGCGACAGGCUUAACACAUGCAAGUCGAGGGGCAGCGGGGAGUAGCAAUACUUCGCCGGCGACCGGCGCACGGGUGGGUAACACGUGUGCAACCAACCCCGUACCGGGAGAUAACCCGCGGAAACGUGGACUAACAUCCCAUGACACUCGAGGGCCGCAUGGCUCUAGAUUUAAAAUUCCGGUGGUACGGGACGGGCACGCGCGACAUUAGGUAGUUGGCGGGGUAACGGCCCACCAAGCCGACGAUGUCUAGGGGUUCUGAGAGGAAGGUCCCCCACACUGGAACUGAGACACGGUCCAGACUCCUACGGGAGGCAGCAGUGAGGAAUAUUGGCCAAUGGGCGAGAGCCUGAACCAGCCAAGUCGCGUGAGGGACGAAUGGUCUAUGGCCUGUAAACCUCUUUUGUCAAGGAAGAAUAAAUCGCACGGGUGCGAUCUUGCCAGUACUUGACGAAUAAGCAUCGGCUAACUCCGUGCCAGCAGCCGCGGUAAUACGGGGGAUGCGAGCGUUGUCCGGAUUUAUUGGGUUUAAAGGGCGCGUAGGCGGGACGUCAAGUCAGCGGUAAAAGACUGCAGCUAAACUGUAGCACGCCGUUGAAACUGGCGCCCUCGAGACGAGACGAGGGAGGCGGAACAAGUGAAGUAGCGGUGAAAUGCAUAGAUAUCACUUGGAACCCCGAUAGCGAAGCAGCUUCCCAGGCUCGUUCUGACGCUGAUGCGCGAGAGCGUGGGUAGCGAACAGGAUUA
rnacentral:rRNA from 1 species